CUGGCGGCGUGCCUAAUACAUGCAAGUAGAACGCUGAAGCUUGGUGCUUGCACCGAGCGGAUGAGUUGCGAACGGGUGAGUAACGCGUAGGUAACCUGCCUCUUAGCGGGGGAUAACUAUUGGAAACGACAGCUAAUACCGCAUAAAAGUCGACAUUGCAUGAUGUUGACUUGAAAGGUGCAAUUGCAUCACUAAGAGAUGGACCUGCGUUGUAUUAGCUAGUUGGUGAGGUAACGGCUCACCAAGGCGACGAUACAUAGCCGACCUGAGAGGGUGAUCGGCCACACUGGGACUGAGACACGGCCCAGACUCCUACGGGAGGCAGCAGUAGGGAAUCUUCGGCAAUGGGGGCAACCCUGACCGAGCAACGCCGCGUGAGUGAAGAAGGUUUUCGGAUCGUAAAGCUCUGUUGUAAGAGAAGAACGAGUGUGAGAGUGGAAAGUUCACACUGUGACGGUAACUUACCAGAAAGGGACGGCUAACUACGUGCCAGCAGCCGCGGUAAUACGUAGGUCCCGAGCGUUAUCCGGAUUUAUUGGGCGUAAAGCGAGCGCAGGCGGUUAGAUAAGUCUGAAGUUAAAGGCUGUGGCUUAACCAUAGUACGCUUUGGAAACUGUUUAACUUGAGUGCAGAAGGGGAGAGUGGAAUUCCAUGUGUAGCGGUGAAAUGCGUAGAUAUAUGGAGGAACACCGGUGGCGAAAGCGGCUCUCUGGUCUGUAACUGACGCUGAGGCUCGAAAGCGUGGGGAG
rnacentral:rRNA from 1 species